AACGCACCUUGCGCUCCUGGGUAUUCCCUGGAGCAUGCCUGUUUGAGUGUCACGUACAACAUCGCGCCGGGGGCCUGUCAAUCAGGUCCCUCCGGAGGCGGAUUUGGACCUCUGCCGCGUCCCGUCGCGGCUGGUCUUGAAAUGCAUUAGCUUGCGCUUUUUUAGAGUGUUCGGCACGGUGUGAUAAUUACUUUGACGCCGCCAGCCUGAGGCCUCUUCUUGGUAGUGCUGCUUCCCAAUCGUCCCUCGUGGACAGACGCGGGCCCCGCCCGCAAAAAACAUGACAUCUUGGCCUCAAAUCAGGUAGGACUACCCGCUGAACUUAA
rnacentral:misc_RNA from 1 species